CGAACGCUGGCGGCGUGCUUCACACAUGCAAGUCGAACGGAAAGGCCCCUUUGGGGGUACUCGAGUGGCGAACGGGUGAGUAACACGUGAGUAACCUGCCCUUGACUUCGGGAUAACUUCAGGAAACUGGGGCUAAUACCGGAUAGGAAUCCUUGCUGCAUGGUGGGGGUUGGAAAGCUUCGGCGGUUUUGGAUGGACUCGCGGCUUAUCAGCUUGUUGGUGGGGUAGUGGCUUACCAAGGCUUUGACGGGUAGCCGGCCUGAGAGGGCGACCGGCCACAUUGGGACUGAGAUACGGCCCAGACUCCUACGGGAGGCAGCAGUGGGGAAUAUUGCACAAUGGGCGGAAGCCUGAUGCAGCAACGCCGCGUGCGGGAUGACGGCCUUCGGGUUGUAAACCGCUUUCAGCAGGGGCGAAGCUUGUGGUGACGGUACCUGCAGAAGAAGCACCGGCUAACUACGUG
rnacentral:rRNA from 1 species